rnacentral:rRNA from 1 species
CGGCUCAGUAACACGUGGAUAACCUACCCUUGAGACGGGGAUAAACCCGGGAAACUGGGUAUAAUACCCGAUAGAUCUCGACUGCUGGAAUGCAUCGAGCUUGAAAGCUCCGGCGCUCAAGGAUGGGUCUGCGGCCUAUCAGGUAGUAGUGGGUGUAGCGUACCUACUAGCCUACGACGGGUACGGGUUGUGAGAGCAAGAGCCCGGAGAUGGAUUCUGAGACACGAAUCCAGGCCCUACGGGGUGCAGCAGGCGCGAAAACUUUACAAUGCUGGAAACAGCGAUAAGGGGACCUCGAGUGCCAGGUUACAAAUCUGGCUGUCGUGAUGCCUAAAAAGCAUUGCAUAGCAAGGGCCGGGCAAGACCGGUGCCAGCCGCCGCGGUAACACCGGCGGCUCGAGUGGUAACCGUUAUUAUUGGGUCUAAAGGGUCUGUAGCCGGCCGGAUAAGUCUCUUGGGAAAUCUGGCAGCUUAACUGUCAGGCUUUCAGGAGAUACUGUCUGGCUCGAGGCCGGGAGAGGUGAGAGGUACUUCAGGGGUAGGGGUGAAAUCUUGUAAUCCUUGAAGGACCACCAGUGGCGAAGGCGUCUCACCAGAACGGACCUGACGGCAAGGGACGAAAGCUAGGGGCACGAACCGGAUUAGAUACCCGGGUAGUCCUAGCCG